CUAUGAAAUCAAUAUACGUAGUCCCCCUUCUAGUCGCUAGGUGGCACCACAGCUUUAAAGCAGAGCCAAAAAACUGUGGAAUAACUUACCAUGGACGGUAUAUUCGCCAUCUAUGGUCUUAACCUCAUUCCUCUUUUUGUGCUUUGGUGGCACAUGUUCAUUUUUAUUCGGCGUCGGUGUUUUCAGCUUUUUUCAGCGUUUUUGGAAGUUAAUUGGAGAAGUACAAGUGAGAUUUACGUUAUUCCUUAUCGGAUGAAGAAAGAACCUACCUACGACGAAAGAUUAAAUCUUUCCAUCCGCGAUUACAUAAUCGCUAGUGGCGUGGUUCCCAUCAACGAGAUUUUCUUACAAUUGGGAGACGAUUUCUUCAUCGUCCGGGUUCCGAUCGGAAUCCCCAGAACUCGAAAGACCCCCCAUCUUUCCCACUUAUACGACAGCAGUCGUAUGUAAGUGUUUCACAAUUGGAAGCAAUCCUUUUGUGAGGGGGUCGGCCAUACAUAUGGUUUUAUAUUUUUUCGACAUCGAAAAAAUAGAGUUUUCUGGCUCGUCCGGCUAUGGAUGAGGCGCCCGGGAUACUGGGACAUAAUGAACAAUUUUUUAUGGCUGUUGGAAUGCAUUUACUCCAUCGUAAGUAUAUUUUUUAGGCCCUUCAAUUAAUUCUGAUGUCAUUGUUGAGCCCCUUGAGACGGAUUUAAAGCAAAAUGGCCUUUAAGCUAUGGGGUCGAUAGUCCCAACACAAAGUUUGAUGUGUCAUGACAUUUUGGCAAGUCAGAUUAAUACCUUUUUGAAAUCCGGUGUGUCCGAAGAUUGUCUCAGUGACCUUUUGCGUUGAUAUCCUGUGCCGAAGAAUUGCCCGCUCAAUAACUCUCCUAAAUUGAAUGUGCAGAUGAAAUCUGCCAUCAACAAAGGUGGAAAGAAAAGGGAUGAGAGACUGACUGCAACAAGGGGUGCUUUGAUGGUGGUUGGUAGGACGCUCUUGACCUUGCUUUUGAAACCGGUUAAGGAUGAGUAGUACUUACUUCUCAUCGAAAUGUUGAGUAAUGCAAUAUUUGUUUUAAGCAAAAUACACCAUUUAGGUUCAGUAUAUAGAAGUUCAGCCGCGUUAAGCCUUUCGCUGGUCUCAAAUGAAAUGCAGCCUUGUAUGAAGGAAGUGCUCGUUGAUGCUUCUUUGCACUCUUGUUUAUAUGGAGAAGAUUUGGCUGAUAGGCUCAAAUCAAUCAGAUUAGCUGCAGAUUAGUGGCCGAGUUAAAGUCAGGUGCAUCCGGAACAAGACUUUUAUAGCAUACAAAUUUAAACUCGACCGUCCCACUUCGUUCCCGGAAGUUGCAAGGCUGAAGUGGGUGAAAGUCAUUGUACCCUCAAAAGAGGGAAUACAGGAAGGUUCGAGAGGAAAGGGGGUGGAGUUGUGUCCCCAGGAAAAAAUAAUCCGGAGGCAUCUAAUGAAGACGCGUUUAGUGUUUUUUGGAGCGACAGUUUCUUCUAUGUUUUCCCCCCGUUUUGCUUGUUGCCACUUGUUUUACGAAAAAUCAAGGCUGAUUGAGCUACAGGGAUCGCAGUAAUCCCUUACGGGCACAGCCAGCAUUGACAAAUUACCUUCUUCUUUUGACAGGAGAGGUCACCCUUUGUGGAAAUCCCUUACCCUGGCUGCAGGGAUUUUGUGAGGCAAGCAUUCCAGAAGAUUUGCUGGAUAUUUUUCUAUCAUCUGUUCAGAGCGCUACCUUGAGGCAUUUAUUACCUGCAUGCAUUUAAACUUUGGUGGAGCUUCUACGAAAGGAGGGGAGUGGAGUGUUAUUACUUCUCACCUAGGCUGUAUUAGAUUUCUUUACUAUUCAUUUUAGACAAGACAAGUCCUAUGGCUCAUUGAGUUCUUUCAGUGCAGCACGGCCUUAUUUUUGGAUCAGAUUUAUUUAACAAUGCAAAUCUAACUAGGUUUUUUAAGGUGUUUAUAAUCUAAGGCCAAGUAAACCAAGAUAUAACAGCACUUGGGGCCCUAGUUAUGUCCCUGACUUUGUAAAAGGGUUACGUUCUAAUGACUUGUCAUUAAAGCAAUUAACUGUCAUUAAAACAAUUAAAUUAGUUUCUCCUACUGAAGUUAACGAUUGUACAUAGAGUCCAAACGCUCUCUCUUAUAGAAUUGGUCAACAUAAAAUCAUUUCCAGAUGGAUUAGAAAUUACAAUAACGAAUCAAAUUAAGAUUUCAGAUAUAAAUAAGACUCGACCUGUUUUUUAAUUUUGCAUAAAUAUGAAGAUGUAAAUCUUUGUGUGGUUUCAAAUAUAUUAUUGAGAGGGCCAGUGCUUUAAGAGGCAGUGAAUCUCGUUUACUCAUUACAUUUAAAAAGCCUUGUAGGGCAGCAACUAUACCCAACAAAAGUAGAUGAAUAAAGAUAACUUUAGAAGAUAGUGGUGUCUACACUUUUAUUUUUACUGUUCACAGAACUCGACAUGCCUCAACAUCGUCUGCGUUUUGUAAAGGUGUUUCAAUUGAUAUGAUUGGAAAAACGGCAGAUUGGUGAGAAUGCUCUAAAUGUUUUCCCCUUUUUUAUAAUAGACCUAUUUGUACAGCAAGUGCAGGCCUUUUUGUUAAUGCCACAUUUGGGACAUAGAAUUUUUCAGGAGGUUUGUUUUCUCGGAUAGCCAUUUAUUUUGUAUUUGUACUCGAGGCUUUCAUAAACUUCCUGGAUUUCCUUAUAUAGCCGAAUAAAAUCGUUUUAUAACAAAUUUGCUGAGUUGCCUUUGAAAGUCUACGUAUAUUGAUUUCAUAGAAGAGGUGUAACAUAUAAUUCAAUGAUCAAACGAACUUACCUGGUAAGUGAAGUUCGAUCGUAAUUAUAUGUUACACCUCUUCGUAGAAAUCACCCAUUCCCGCCCAAUUUACUGUUCUGAACAGUACUAAAAUGCCCUUUGGCAAAUUUAUUAUAAACGGGCUUUAAAAUAGAAUGAGGUUAAGACCAUAGAUGGCGAAUAUACCGUCCAUGGUAAGUUAUUCCACAGUUUUUUGGCUCUGCUUUAAAGCUGUGGUGCCACCUAGCGACUAGAAGGGGGACUACGUAUAUUGAUUUCUACGAAGAGGUGUAACAUAUAAUUACGA